rnacentral:misc_RNA from 1 species
UAUCCGUAGGUGAACCUGCGGAUGGAUCAUUACCUUUGGGGUGCUUGCACCCGACAUUUCCGUGCACUUGGAUUGUAUGUUCCGCAAGGAACAGCUGUUUCACCAUACUGUUUUUGAAAUCCUUGACGCUUGUCGUCAUUGUAUUUAACCAAUACAACUUCUAACAACGGAUGUCUUGGUUCUCGCAUCGAUGAAGACGCAGC